CACAUGCAGUCGAACGAUGAACCUCACUUGUGGGGGGAUUAGUGGCGAACGGGUGAGUAACACGUGAGUAACCUGCCCUUGACUCUGGGAUAAGCCUGGGAAACCGGGUCUAAUACUGGAUACGACCUUCUGGCGCAUGCCAUGUUGGUGGAAAGCUUUUGUGGUUUUGGAUGGACUCGCGGCCUAUCAGCUUGUUGGUGGGGUAAUGGCCUACCAAGGCGACGACGGGUAGCCGGCCUGAGAGGGUGACCGGCCACACUGGGACUGAGACACGGCCCAGACUCCUACGGGAGGCAGCAGUGGGGAAUAUUGCACAAUGGGCGCAAGCCUGAUGCAGCGACGCCGCGUGAGGGAUGAAGGCCUUCGGGUUGUAAACCUCUUUCAGUAGGGAAGAAGCCUGUCUUUUGGGUGGGUGACGGUACCUGCAGAAGAAGCGCCGGCUAACUACGUGCCAGCAGCCGCGGUAAUACGUAGGGCGCAAGCGUUAUCCGGAAUUAUUGGGCGUAAAGAGCUCGUAGGCGGUUUGUCGCGUCUGCCGUGAAAGUCCGGGGCUUAACCCCGGAUCUGCGGUGGGUACGGGCAGACUAGAGUGCAGUAGGGGAGACUGGAAUUCCUGGUGUAGCGGUGAAAUGCGCAGAUAUCAGGAGGAACACCGAUGGCGAAGGCAGGUCUCUGGGCUGUAACUGACGCUGAGGAGCGAAAGCAUGGGGAGCGAACAGGAU
rnacentral:rRNA from 1 species